rnacentral:lncRNA from 1 species
CUCAGAAGGUACUCUGGGCCUGACUGGCAAAUCUCUAAGGGACAGGUCUAGGCAUGACGCCCUUGUGUAUAUGGAACCCAGGGACAAUCAUCAGAGGGACUAACCUGUGCAAGUAUCAGGAAAGCCUUAAGGAAAACACUUGGAGCUGAAAGUAGCCACAAGGGCGCCAAGAUGCAAAACCUGAGGAGUGAGGAACUGAGGAAGAGACUGGAGGAAGGUACUCUCAAGGAAUCAUAUUUUACAAAACCGAUGUGGUACAUGAAGAAUUCUAGUCACUAUGGUGAAAGGAAAAAGAGGACAAAUAGAAGAAACAGGAGGGGAAAAAAGUCAGAAACAUCUGUGUGAAGGUCGUCCAAGAAGGGCGGAAGCUGUUUUCAUCCACACUUUGAAAGUCACACUCUGUGUCAAGUUGAGUGAAAGCCUGAGCAAUGUGCUUCUCCACCUUCCCGGAAGAAAGAAACACAAAGAAAAUGUGGCAAAUAUUUAAUCCAAGCCUCGUUUCCUGAAAGACUGCAAGAUGCCCACAAACUUUCUUUCCCAGAGUUCAAAAUAGCAAGCUGAGUGGGUGUAAGCACUUCAAGCGCAAAAAAUAUAAAAAUAAAAAAAAUAAUAAUAAGGUAACUAAGGAAAGGAAAUCAUCCUUUUUUGCUCCUCAGUUUGAGACUUUUAAAAGAAGCCAUUUCAAGGGAUUUUAAUGAUUUGGAUCUAGUGGUUGUCUUGAAUCAUUAUACGAAUACAGUCCUGAUGACUUAAACAGGGCCUCUGGCCACUUUUAAACUUUUUCUUACCUUUUCUAUGUUAAGACUAAAUUUACAACCUCAUUGUCACAGUAAGAGCAGGCAACUUCAUUCUGCUACAACCAGACUCUUAAAUCACUCCCACACCACACUGGCGUAAAGGGAGAGUUGCAGGUUCACCGGGUCCUUCCAGGGAGAGGGAGCUUCCUCAACACGGCUAUGAAAACUUUAACAACGUGUGUGAGUCACCAGAGGAGCUGGUUAAAAUGUAGAUUACGAUUCUGCAGGUCUGGGUGGGGGCCAACUUGUUCAAGUUCCCCAGUGAUGCUGAUGCACGGGUCUGAGGCCCACACUUUGAGAAGCAAGGCGGUAACAAUGAUUUACUCAUAGCUAGACAACAGAAGUAACAAUCAACCAAUUAAGAACAUUGGCAAGGUACCUAACACAGUGCUAAUUGUUACAGGAGACAGUAAAGUAUAUAAUAACAUAAGCUCUGAACCAACACAUAAAAAAUUAUUCUUAAAAAAUUAAGUGCUAAUUGCUAAAAUGCGUGGUGACGACUCUAAUAAUGGAGUCCAAUAAUGGAUCUAAUAAUGAAGAGGAAGAGUUCAGCAACAGCUAGAAUAAUGGCACAUGGUUUCAUAGAAGAGGUCGGACCUGAUAAGGCCCCAGGUUGGGAGGAUGUGGACAGAGAAGGAGCAGGAACCAGAAAAGGAAGUGUCUGGAGUUUCAACAUGGGAAAACUACAGUGCACCUCCUUGUGGCUGUAGAUAUUACCAUUUGAAGCUUUUUUUCUCCCAAGGUCCCAGCACAUAGUUGUAUAUCCUAGUUGUUAGUCCUUCUAGUUCUUCCUCGUGGGAGGCCACCACAGCAUGGCUUGUUGAGCUGAGCAGUGUGUAGGUCCAAGCCUGGGAUCAGAACCUGUGAACCCCAGGCCACUGAAGCAGAAUGCACGAACUUAACCAUUAUAUGACCGGGCUGGCUCCUCAUUCAAAACUUUUCACCAGAAUUCACUUUUAGCCAGAUGAAGGGAGCUUCUGACCUUGUUUAAUAUUUGUAGGCAGUUUUGUCCUAGUCUUAUGCAGAUUUUCUCCAUUGGCAACAGCAACAGUGUUAGUGACAUUUUAGGUUUCAGCCUGGUAGCACAAAAUUACCAUUUUUGUAUAUAUAUUUAUGCAUCCCUUUGAUUAACAUAUGUCUCUAAUGAUUAACAAUUUUAACAGCAUUAGAAUAUAACUUUUCACUACAAUAGAAUUAAUAAUCUUCUGU